rnacentral:lncRNA from 1 species
GCUUUUGUCUAAAACCAGAACCAAAGUUGCACAGAAAAAUACGAAAGCAAAUAAUCUCUCUUGUCUCUCUGAUUUAUUUCUUACUUUUAUUAUCAAUGGCUGCUCAGGUUAUUGUCUCCAAGACAUUCUUGCUUGUCCUUGUGAUUGCUGCCUUCGCUGUUGCUUCUGCCCAAGAUAGUGAAUCAAUGGCUCCUGCACCUGCACCAGGAAUGGAUGCUGGAGCUGGGUUCUCUUCACCAGUUUCUGGAGCCAUUGUUGGGUUCUCUCUUGUUGUUUCUCUUUUUGGUUUCUUGAAACAUUGAUUAAUCUGUUGUUUCACUUGAUUUUUCAAGCUGGGAGGAGUUUUGGUUGAUUAAAUUAAUAUUUGUCGUGAGAGAGAGAGAGAGAGAGAGAGAGGUGAUGGAAAAUUGUUGUAUAUUGGAUUCAUUCUUUGCUAUUAUUUGUUUACUACAUACAAAAUUAAUGAACUAAUUACUCUGAUUUUUUAUCCUUUUUUUUAUAAUAACUUUAUUUACUACAUACAAAAUUAAUGAAAUAAAUAAAC